GCAUGCACAUUCGCCCGCAUUCCGAUGGAAGAAUUAAUUAAAUACUCAAAAAUUCCAUUCUCUUGCAAAACAUUCUCUGCUUAGAAUAAUGGCCGGCCAUUGAGCUUUCCGGGAUCACUUAGGAUUUGUAUGUUGGACUUCCAUAUCUGGUAAAGUUGCAGGGAUCACUUAGGGGUUAGAUGAUGGAGUUUGGACUUCCAUAUAUUGUAAAGUUGCAGGGAUCAGUUAGGAGUUAUAUGAUGGAGUUUGGACUUCCGUAUCUGGUAAAGUUGCAGGUGAGCACAAAUCAGGUGGCUGUUUUUGUACUUUUAGAUCCUAUUUUCCUUAACUGGUUUAAAAAAAUUAUUUACUUAAUACUUUUUCGCUUUAAAUCCAGAUGAGUGUUCCUAGUAUUUUUUGAGAGUAGGAGGAAUCUCAUCUUACAUGGUGAUAUACUAAAAUAGAAAGUUGGCAGAAAAGUUAGUUGACUUACAAUGACAAAGCAUUCUGAACAGGAAAUUGGGAAAAAUGCUCUGAAAGUAGAACAGUAUGUAUAUUCAAAGAGGAAUUAACUCUUAAGUUGUUUGCAUUGCCAGUUUGGAUUAAAAAUACAUAUUGCACUUUACAUGUAAAGUUGCCUAAUCUUUUUGUUAUUUCAUGAAAUAGAGAAAUUUAUCCAGUUUAAUUGACUUUUAUACACAAGACUAAGAUUUUAUUUGUCCAUAAAUGCCUGAUGAGCAUUCUGCAGUUUCCAAAACAUCAAUCUCAAAUGUGAUUCUUUUGUAACCUAUUCAAUAAGAACCCUACCUUAUUUUUGGAAUAGUUAUUGCUGUCAGAAUUUAGGAUUAAAAUGGUUACCUAAAAGAAGGGGCAUUCCGAGAAUCGAACUCGGGACCUCUCGCACCCAAAGCGAGAAUCAUACCACUAGACCAAAUGCCCAGCUGUCAAUGGUCCCUCAUAGACAAUCUUAAUGAUAGCUGGAAGUUCCAGAUUUCUGUUGUUUGGAAAACAUAGCUUAAUCUUUUGGGAGAAUCAUCAAAGAUAAUUUUACAAAGCCGGAGAUACAAAUUUAUAGUAGUUUUAAAGAAAAUCAAGAAGUUGCUAAAAUGAACUUGUCAUAAGAACAUUUAUACAAAUUUUGCGCUAAGCAGAGUUAAUAGUUGUUAAUUUUUUUUUAAAGUUUUCACUCAUAAAACUUCUACUUCCAAAAAACCUUUAUCAAGGCAACAAGUAAUUCUCAAUUUGCCUUUUUCCCCUCCUGAUCUCACUCUCUUGCCUUUUUCCUAUCAAAAUACUACUUUGGCUGGUUCUGGUACUGUACUUGUUGCUGUUUAUUUCCACUUUCAUUCUUGACUUGCAAUGGGGUGAAUGAUAAAGUUGCACUAUUCAUUUUUACCAAGCAGUGGAUAUGCUGGCAGGUUUUUUCUUCACAAUCUGCCUCAAGCACCCUUAGUUUCUACUUGAAGCUUUUGGAUUUUCUCAUAAUUCUCCUCCAGCUAUUGUUUCCAGUGUUCUCAGUUCUAAGCUAAAAGACUUUUCCUGCUUAUGAAUUAAAAUUGUUUCCCACCACAUUCCUAUUUUUGAUGCAUAAACGUUAUUCAACUGGAUUUUGAUUUGUUAUAUCCUUUCUUUUGUGGAUUUGAUGCAUAACUGAUUAAAUAUGAUUCAGAUUAAUAACAGUUGUAGGUUUUAUUAAUUUGAGUCUUGGGCGUCUACUUUGUUAACAAAUUGGUUGUGGUUUCUUAGUUUGAACUAUCAAUUAGUGCUCUUAACUUGCAUCCAAUUGUGUGGUCUAGCAGUUAAUGAAGUGGGUGAAAACCAUGUGAGACCAGGGAUCAAAUCCCAGUGGAUACAAAAGACAUUUACUAUUUUUUUCUAUUUGCAUAAACCUUGGUGAAUAGAGUUACCCGUUACCUGCAUGACCACUGUCAUAAAAAAAUUAAAAUUGGGCUCUCAAGUUUUGCUCACUGAUGAUUAUACUGAGCAGGACAAAGUGUAGUGUUAAAUGGUCAAGUGCUGAAGAAAGGGGCAUUCCGAGAAUUGAACUCGGGACCUCUUGCACCCUAAGCGAGAAUCAUACCACUAGACCAAAUGCCCUGUUGUUGAAUUUAACUUCUUUCCUAUACAAUUUAUUUUUCUUUAUGAUCCAUAUUUAGCUUGAUUAAUUUUUCUUUGCAUCAUGAUAAAUCAAUUAAUAACUCUCUAGAUCUGAGUUGUCAUAACUGUCAGAACAGGUUCAGUAUUGCUUUUGUGUCAUCAAUAUGUUUAUUUCGUAAUAGCUAUUUGGCCACGAAAUUCCCAGCUAACUUGAAAAUGCUGACUAUAGUGAUAUAUGCUUUUAUAGGAAGUAGCUGUCUUUGAAUUAUACAACACAUCCUUACAUAAGUUGACAUUAAAUACUCUCUGGACCUUUUUCUUUAAGUUAUUCAUUUGAAGUUAAAAAAAGAAGAAAGAACUAAGAGCUAAUACUAAAAUAAGGGAUAACAGACUCCACCAUUUCAUCAAUUUCAAAAUUUUAAUAUCGUGGUUGACUUCUGAUCUUAUCUCUAACACUUUCUAGUCAGGCGACUUCACUGAGCACCUCUAGAAUUGCUAGGUGUAACAAUAUGUUUAUUUACACUUUUGGUCAAACGUACCACAUUUCUACUACCUCUGUGCAUGUAGAAGUUUAAUACAUUAAAUAGGGCAUUGAGUAGGUAUUGUUUUGUAUGAAUAAUGUUUAUCUUGUAUCUGCAUUGCUUCACAAGGGAAAGUCAUGUGUAAAGUUAUUUUUUCCACUUAAAAACAAAAAAUAAUUUUGUUAAUUGUGUAUUCGAUCUCCUUUUUAAAAUAAUAAUGAUUUUAAAUAAAACACAGACAUUUUGAUUAAUCAGAUAUUGGGGUUAAUGUUCUUUUAAUAAAAUGAGGCAUUCCGAGAAUCGAACUCGGGACCUCUCGCACCCAAAGCGAGAAUCAUACCACUAGACCAAAUGCCCAGUUGUUCAAGCAUGACAGACCAAAUGCCCAGUUGUUCAAGCAUGAUCGGUGUCUUAUUCUCUUUUAAUAUCUCAUAUCAUUCCUUGCAGAAUUUUAAUCUUUAGACUCCUCAUUUUUGCUCUUCUGCAUUUGCUUAUACAAAGAUUUUUUGAGGAAUUUUAUUUAUUCUCAUUGGGAAUUGUCAGUGUGUCACUAUAGAAGCAAAGAGAGUGUUCUUAAAUCUUCUGCUUUUCCGCCUUUCCUCUAAUAUUUACUUUUCUCUAAUUGAUAAAUUUUAGUGGAAAUCCUUUCGUUAUCAUACCUAGUCCUUUGGACAUGUUGCAAAGAACUGCUAUACGUGAUGAUAUUAAGAUUUUUCUGGCACUAUAUUAAACUGCAUCAUAUUUUAGUCCCGUAAUUUGAGUUGAAGUCACGACUUAAGCAGAACUUGCUAAUUAUAGGAAUAAUUGAGGUAAACAUUUGCUAUGCUUUUGGGUCUAUCUGAUUUCUAGUUUAUUUGAGCUACUUUCUUGAUUAAUCUAGUCUGUGAUUCUUGUUUGAGUUUUAUUUUGCAGCUCGUAUAAGUAAGUACAGAAAACAACAUGAACCUAGUGAUUGCCAAACUAAAUAUGAAUGGAUGAUUCAUCAACUGGGGUUCUUUAAUCUGAGAUCUUACGCCAAACAGACGACAUAUCACUUCAGCAAUCCUUGAUUUUUGGCAACUUUUUUCUGCCAUUGACUGAUAUAUUCGGCUGCAUUUUUUGACCUCCAUGGUCCAAAAAAAUGAACCUUCUUUAUUAAGCUUUGCUCAAGGACAAAUAUAUUUGCUAGCUGUCUCUUUAUUUGGCUACUUUUUCCAGAUCAAAAACAAAUGUAGAACUGCAAUAACAUACAUUUUCUGGUUAUCAAUUCUUUUGUUUCUUAGGGAUCACUUAGAAGUUCUAUGUUGGAUUUUGGACAUUCAGAUCUCCUUAAAGUUGCAGACAUAUAGGAGUACGUCAGACAAUGUCAAGCAAUUUUAUAUCUUGGGCCUAUAUAAAUUAUAACAGUAACAGAGGUCAAACGUGCAAGCACAUCCCUAAUGAAUUUGUAAUCGAGCAUGGCCCUAAUCUAGGGGAUAGUGUGUUGCUUGAGGUCCCAAAUGGCGUGGCAUGGAAAGUAAAACUGCUAAACUCUAGUGGCAUGGUAUGGUUAAAUGAAGGCUGGAACAAAUUCAAGGAGUACUAUUCAAUUGCAUGUUGUUACUUUUUACUCUUCAGAUACGAAGGAAAUUUCCAGUUCUCUCUGUUCAUAUUUGAUCUAAAUGCUUCUGAGAUUGAAUAUCCUCCUGGCCAAAAUGAAGAUAUGACACCACAAAAUCGAUCUGUUCUGUGCGUGCCACCAGAGGAAAGCGGAAUAAACUUACCCCUACUCGGUGAGCCACCAAACGAGAACAGGAUAAACUUAACCCCACCUGAUGAUCCACCAGAGGAAGAUGUGAUAUACUUAUCUCCACCUGGUAUUUACACCAUCAUGGCCAAAGGUAUAGAUAUAUUUAAGGCUAGUUUUUCUCUCUCUUUCAGAGCUUCACAAUGUAUUUUACGAUUUAAGUUAUGUACCCUGGAAUGUAAAUAUCUUUUUUAUACAAUCAAUGAAUUCAGCACCAAGUUAGUGACUAGAUUACCAA